rnacentral:rRNA from 1 species
AACGAACGCUGGCGGCAGGCCUAACACAUGCAAGUCGAGCGAGGACUUCGGUCCUAGCGGCGGACGGGUGAGUAACGCGUGGGAACGUGCCCUUUGCUUCGGAAUAGCCCUGGGAAACUGGGAGUAAUACCGGAUGCGCCCUUUGGGGGAAAGAUUUAUCGGCGAAGGAUCGGCCCGCGUUGGAUUAGGUAGUUGGUGGGGUAAUGGCCUACCAAGCCGACGAUCAAUAGCUGGUUUGAGAGGAUGAUCAGCCACACUGGGACUGAGACACGGCCCAGACUCCUACGGGAGGCAGCAGUGGGGAAUCUUAGACAAUGGGGGAAACCCUGAUCUAGCCAUGCCGCGUGAGCGAUGAAGGCCUUAGGGUUGUAAAGCUCUUUCGGCUGGGAAGAUAAUGACGGUACCAGCAGAAGAAGCCCCGGCUAACUCCGUG